GAUGAACGCUGGCGGCGUGCCUAAUACAUGCAAGUCGAGCGAACAGACGAGGAGCUUGCUCCUCUGACGUUAGCGGCGGACGGGUGAGUAACACGUGGAUAACCUACCUAUAAUACUGGGAUAACUUCGGGAAACCGGAUCUAAUACCGGAGAAUAUAUUGAACCGCAUGGUUCAAUAGUGAAAGACGGUGUUGCGGUCACUUAUAGAUGGAUCCGCGCCGCAUGAGCUAGUUGGGAAGGUAACGGCUUACCAAGGCGAGGAUGCGUAGACGAACUGAGAGAGGGAUCGGCCACACGAGAACUGAGACACGGUCCAGACUCCUAAGGGAGGCAGCAGUAGGGAAUCUGCCGCAGUGGGCGAAAGCAUGACGGAGCAAGGGCGAGCGAGAGACAACGGCCUUGCGAUCGUAAAACUCUGUUAUUAGGGAAGAACAAAUGUGUAAGUAAACAUGGACGUCUUGACGGUAACUAAUCAGAAAGCAACGGCUAACUACGUG
rnacentral:rRNA from 1 species